CUCCGUGCCAGCAGCCGCGGUAAUACGGGGGAUGCAAGCGUUAUCCGGAAUCAUUGGGCGUAAAGCGCCUGUAGGUUGUUUAAUAAGUCUGUUGUUAAAGACUAGGGCUCAACCCUAGAAAAGCAAUGGAAACUACUAGACUUGAGUAUGGCAGGGGUAGAGGGAACUUCUAGUGUAGCGGUGAAAUGCGUAGAUAUUAGAAAGAACACCAGUGGCGAAAGCGCUCUACUGGACCAUUACUGACACUCAGAGGCGAAAGCUAGGGUAGCAAAAGGGAUUAGAUACCCCUGUAGUCCUAGCCGUAAACGAUGGAUACUAGAUGUUGUAUAUUUCUUACAGUAUCGUAGCUAACGCGUUAAGUAUCCCGCCUGGGGAGUACGCUCGCAAGGGUGAAACUCAAAGGAAUUGACGGGGGCCCGCACAAGCGGUGGAGCAUGUGGUUUAAUUCGAUGCAACGCGAAGAACCUUACCAGGGCUUGACAUACUACAAAUCUUUUUGAAAGAAGAGAGUGCCUUCGGGAAUGUAGAUACAGGUGGUGCAUGGCUGUCGUCAGCUCGUGUCGUGAGAUGUUGGGUUAAGUCCCGCAACGAGCGCAACCCUUAUUUUUAGUUACCAACUAUGUUGGGUUCUCUAGAAAGACUGCCGGUGACAAACCGGAGGAAGGUGAGGAUGACGUCAAGUCAGCAUGCCCCUUAUGUCCUGGGCCACACACGUGCUACAAUGGUUAGGACAAAGAGUCGCGAGUUCGUGAGAACAAGCUAAUCUCGUAAAUCUAACCUAAGUUCAGAUUGUAGG
rnacentral:rRNA from 1 species